rnacentral:misc_RNA from 1 species
ACUCAUUUUUUUAUUAUCUUCAAAAAAAUUCGAAAGUCCCCAAAAAAGCGAGUUUGGUGCUUACUGGUG